GUGCACAUUGAGUAUUCAGACUGCUAUUACUAAGCUUGAAUCACUGUCUGCAUGCUGUUUGCACCCUUUAAAGUCAGUUAACGACUGUCACCCUUCAGUCACAUAUUACAGAAGAGCAAAUGUUAAAAAAAAUGAAAUGGUAUGGAGAGCAAUUAUGAAUAUUUAGGGAACCAAAGCAUGUGCUGCGGAUGCUGGAACUCUGAAAUAAACACAGAAAAUGCUGGAAAUACUCAGCAGGUCUGGCAGGAUCUGUGGACAGAAAACCAGGGUUAAUAGUAUGAACAGUGAGUGCUGGCUACAUCAUUAGGAAGAAUGGUUUAAAGGAGAUGCUGAGCCCAACAAAAUGAGAGACACAAAUUGGUAGACACAGUGGAAGUUCAGUUGCAAAUGAGAACUGCAAAGAGGAACAAGCUUUAGAAUAUGGAAUGACUGGAACUAAUGGACAGACAUGGAAGCAGAUGACAGUGGAGUAAAUUGCAUCAGAAAAUAAGGAUAGAAACAUUGGCAUUAAAAUUACAAUGGCUGCAGUUUGGAAGACAUGUCUGCUGGAUGAGAGAUAUAUUCAAUGCUGCCGUCCUGGAACAGAGUGUGCCAUGUAAGACAGGAUGAUGCUAGAAAGGAGUCCUGGACCAAGGAAGCUGCCUGGCAACAACGUUUUAGUUGGCUCCUGACCAGGUGAUCAGGGUUUUGUGCAAAAGCAGAAGAAUACCUCUUAGCCUGAACGGAACAAGACCUAAAACCUCUUUCUCCUCUGUGAGGAAGAUUCCAGUAAUUCCACAAAAAUUGCUAGCUGACUUUUUCUCCUCAUAUCUUUAUAACCUGCUCUCUCUCUCUCUGAAAACUCCCAUCAAGAGGCAAAGGGGAAAAAGCUCUGUUAGAGAUAUUGAAAGGCAAGUGUUCAAUCAGUGAACUACAGACUGAAAGUACUGGAAGACCACCUCAUGUCAUCAACAAGAACUGCAAGGAAUUUGGAAGACAUUGAUCAAAACCAACCCAUUGAAUCCUGUACUUUGG